UACAGAGGGUGCAAGCGUUGUUCGGAAUUAUUGGGCGUAAAGGGAGUGUAGGCGGUUUCCUAAGUCUUCUGUGAAAUCUACGGGCUUAGCCUGUAACGUGCAGAGGAAACUGGGAGACUUGAGUGUCGGAGAGGAUAGGGGAAUACCCGGUGUAGAGGUGAAAUUCGUAGAGAUCGGGUGGAACACCAGUGGCGAAGGCGCCUGUCUGGCUGACAACUGACGUUGAGACUCGAAAGCAUGGGGAGCAAACAGG
rnacentral:rRNA from 1 species